rnacentral:piRNA from 1 species
UGAGAACAGAAAACACUGCUAACCUCCAAGC